UGAGGAAUAUUGGUCAAUGGCCGGGAGGCUGAACCAGCCAAGUCGCGUGAGGGAAUAAGGCCCUACGGGUCGUAAACCUCUUUUGCCAGGGAGCAAUGCCGUCCACGUGUGGACGGAAGGAGAGUACCUGGAGAAAAAGCAUCGGCUAACUCCGUGCCAGCAGCCGCGGUAAUACGGAGGAUGCGAGCGUUAUCCGGAUUUAUUGGGUUUAAAGGGUGCGUAGGCGGCCUGCCAAGUCAGCGGUAAAAUUGCGGGGCUCAACCCCGUACAGCCGUUGAAACUGCCGGGCUCGAGUGGGCGAGAAGUAUGCGGAAUGCGUGGUGUAGCGGUGAAAUGCAUAGAUAUCACGCAGAACCCCGAUUGCGAAGGCAGCAUACCGGCGCCCUACUGACGCUGAGGCACGAAAGUGCGGGGAUCAAA
rnacentral:rRNA from 1 species